AAAAACGACAACGAAAACGGAAUGAACGAACGACGCGACAAAAUGUAAAAUGCAAAAUGCACAAAUGAAACAAAAUGAACAAAAUAUUAAAUGCAAUUAAAAACGCAUAAUUUGAGCACAUUCAGUUUUGUUUCACUUGCUUAGCAAUAAAUUCAAAUUUCUUUUUUGAAAAAUAUAGGAAUAAUAAAAUAAUGUAGAAGCGGACAAGAGCAGAGCGCCCAGCGACAACGCACGAGGCAAAUUACACGAUUCUAAAGCUUCUGUCCCGAUCGAUGGCACUGCUCGCCGUCUGGCCAGGCCACCGGAACCGUUGCCGUUGCCGUCGUCGCCGUCGCCGCCGCCUUCGUCGUCAUCGUUUUGCCGGAGAGCGACCAAAAUACCUAAUACACACGACUAGUUGGACAUCAUCAUGUCUAUGUAUAUGCGCCCCUGUGUGUCGGUGUGUGUGUGUGCCUGUGGUUUAUUUCCCGGCGAGCGAAAAAGACCAACUGCUUGGGAUCAACAGCAAGUUGGGUGCCAGGUACACAUGAGUGCAAACGAGACAGCCCUAGUGCAUGUCCGCUCUUCUUGUUGCUGCUGCUGCUGCUGCUAGUUCGCUCUGAAUUUUGAUUUUAAUGUUGAUUUUUGUUGUUCAAUUCAAUAUUUUAAGGCGAGCAGCUGCUGCUGCCGCUGCCGCACGGCUGUUUUGCUAAUUGUUUGGCUGCACCAAGUGCCUCAAAUCAAAUCAUAAAUGAAAUUAAAAAAGACAAUCUGAUGAACUGACUGCAAUUAGUGUCUCUGGCUGGCGCUGCUGCUGCUGCUGUGACGCAUGUCAAAUCUGUAACUAGUCCCCCACACCACGUGCGUGUGUUGUUGGCGCUAUUUUAGAACGCGCUCCGCGCCUCGCGUCCCGCGAUUGCCCUUCCUGCAGCCUCUUGUGGUGUGUGUGGUAUGACGCCCCAGACGAACGUCGAAAAUUCGAGGGAAAAUCUUUAAUAAAAUACAUGCAUAAAUAAAUUAUAGGGCAGACAGCGAACGAGGGAUGAGAGCACAAUGGGUAAUAAAACAAAGCGAAGACAGUCGCGAAAAGAAAUCAACAAUAAACAAGCAAAGGAGCAGUCAUUUUACAACACGAAGACAUCCGAAUACCCUCAAGUAUACUUAAGUUAUAGUCCAUUAACAAGUAUGUAAAUUUGGGGCUGAUUUAAUAAAGUAUUUUGUGCCUCCAGCUUUAUGAACUCCAAAA